rnacentral:misc_RNA from 1 species
AAGAACUCCGGCUAGCUCAGUGUUCAACUUGAAUCCUGCUGGGUUUCCCAUAAGCCACACACAACCAGUACGCAGAAGAUAGUUAGUGGCAUUUUCAGAAAAACUUGAAACCCACACGCAAGCUGCUCUAGCUCGAGACCACAAUAUGAUGCCAAGGAAGUUCCCCAGAAGUAGAUCAACUACAAGGCUUGCCCACAUGGAAUGUUUGUGAAAUGCCGCUUUCUCAGCAUACUCCACACAGGAAUGAGACCUGAGACCAUAAUCUUUGAGAAUAACCGGCCAAUAGAGGAGCUGGCAGCAU